CUCUGUCCAAAGAAGCCUGCAGCAGGAACUACAGAAGCAGACUGCUUUUGUCCCUUUUGCCUCAGGCCUUAGUGGGAUCCCCUGUUGGCUGUGUCCGUACAAUCAUCUUAACCUCAUCUCAGACACCUUAAGUAUCUUAACAUCUGCACAAAUAAAAAGUCUCUAGCUUGCAUACAGCUCACAUGAUACAGGGUUUGAGCUCUGGUCCUCUGGAAUGGCAGGCCAGACCUUGGGGCUAGAGACCUGGCAUUUACACCACUGUAAAAAUAGCCACAUCUAUCUUUGUCCUUCUAACCCUAAUACACAGCUAUAAACCAAGUAUUGAGUAUCAGUUGUCUGCUCAUACUUACACGAGAUGCAGAAGAAUCUGCUCUAAAGGAUGUGUAAUCUAAUUAGACAUUAAUGGAAGUGCUACAGCACAAAAUAUUGCCUUAAUAUUAUUUCCUACCAUUAGACAUACUCAGUGAAUGUUAAUAGCUUGCUCUGCAAGGUCAUUUACAUGGGACUCUGAAAAUCCCCUGAGGUUUCCCCAUGAGCAAAGCUGAGAAGCUUGGAGAAAGCAGUAAUGAGGCCCCACCUGAAUCAAAGAGCUCCCACACACUUGCUUAAUUUGUGAUUAAAAAAAAAAAAAAAAAAAAAAAAAAGCCACUCAGAUUCUCUGCAUUCACCUUCUUUUCCACCAUGGCAGUUGAGCUAGGGAAACAGUUCAGGCAGCGUAGGACUUCCCUUCCCAACCAGAGAGCAAAAAAGCAGCAGGAGCAUGGGAAGCUGAGACACAGGAGAGAAAGCAGCAGCAAAGACUCUGGGCUGCUGGAGACUGAACUACCUUCUGCAGAGGGCCUGUGUGUCUUCAGAGUUCAUCCUACAAACAACCAUCUGGGGGCAGAUUGUGAGCUUGUGGGACCUUUUCUUGAGAUAAAACAGCGAUUACAUUCCUAUGUACCAGUCUGCAGCACACUCUAGCCCUGUAUUUUUUGGUAUCAUGAUUUUAUUAAAGAUAAGUAAUCUCCAAAGAUACUAAGGCAAAGGAAACAAGACAGAAUAUUCCUUUGGAUAGCAAAAAUCUCUCAUAUACUCAUAUACAACCAAUGUCAACCUCUUGAAUUUUGGAGAAACACGGUCUUCUCUCAGCUUUUUCACAAAGCUUCCAUUAGAGACCAGUUGGGUUCACUGGUUGGGUUUUUGCUUUGUCUUUUCAUUUUUCAAUCAGUUUCUAUUCUGAAACAUGCAAUUAAGAACAUGUUGUGCUAUCUGAAACAAUAGGUAGGGUUUACAUAUAGCUGUCAAUUAUCACAGAAGGUGCUGGGAAACAUCCUGUAAAGCUCCAUCUACACUAUGUGAAAAGGAAAUCACAGCUGCAGCUAAGCAAGCAACAUAAUAAUAAUAAUUACCCUGAAAUCAUCUGCUUGAAUUUUCAAAUGAAUCCACAUGACCAGGCUUAAGCUCAAAUAGCAUUCCUUUUCUGGCAGCUUUCUAUCAGUUCAUUAUUACAAGCUUGUGCAGAAAGAAUACUUAUAGGACCUUAGAGCUGGAAAGAUUUUCUGGGUGUCUGAUUUUUGCUCCCUGCUGUGCCUGGUAGACAUUCUGUAUUUGAACCACUUGCAAGUGAUAAAGCUCUGUCUUUAAAAACAAAAGGGUGGGCAAUUCUUUCUAUAAUUUCCCUUUAAAAGAUGCUCACCAUUUAGAAGCAUCUCAUUUCCAGCUUGAUCUUUUCUUAGCUAAAAUUGUCCUUCAGCAUCAAUGAUCUUCCCACUGUUUACUACCUAUAAACUCUUGCAGACUGGGUUUUGAUUCAGUAAAUAAGCUAAGCUCUUCUGGUCUCCUCCUAU
rnacentral:lncRNA from 1 species